UACGGGGGGGGCAAGCGUUGUUCGGAAUUACUGGGCGUAAAGCGCACGUAGGCGGAUUGCUAAGUCAGGGGUGAAAUCCUGGAGCUCAACUCCAGAACUGCCUUUGAUACUGGCGACCUUGAGUCCGGGAGAGGUGAGUGGAACUGCGAGUGUAGAGGUGAAAUUCGUAGAUAUUCGCAAGAACACCAGUGGCGAAGGCGGCUCACUGGCCCGGUACUGACGCUGAGGUGCGAAAGCGUGGGGAUCAAACAGG
rnacentral:rRNA from 1 species